UGUCUCAAAGAUUAAGCCAUGCAUGUCUAAGUACAAGCGAAAAUAAAGUGAAACCGCAAAAGGCUCAUUAUAUCAGUUAUGGUUCCUUAGAUCGUAUCCACAAUUACUUGGAUAACUGUGGUAAUUCUAGAGCUAAUACAUGCAAUUAAAGAGAAACCAGUAAAAUGGGAUCUCUGCUCUUAUUAGAUUUAAACCAAUGGGGAGUACUUCGGUACUCUCAAAUUAAAUGGUUGAACUCUGGAUAAUUUGUUGAUCGCAUGGUCUUGUACCGGCGACGGAUCUUUCAAAUGUCUGCCCUAUCAACUAUUGAAGGUAGUGUCUUGGACUACCUUGGUUGCAACGGGUAACGGGGAAUCAGGGUUCGAUUCCGGAGAGGGAGCCUGAGAAACGGCUACCACAUCUAAGGAAGGCAGCAGGCGCGUAAAUUACCCACUCCCGGCACGGGGAGGUAGUGACGAAAAAUAACAAUACAAGACUCACAUCCGAGGCCUUGUAAUUGGAAUGAGUACAAUUUAAAUCCUUUAACAAGGAUCAAUUGGAGGGCAAGUCUGGUGCCAGCAGCCGCGGUAAUUCCAGCUCCAAUAGCGUAUAUUAAAGUUGUUGCGGUUAAAACGUUCGUAGUUGAACUUGUGUUCCGCACGGGCAGUACCUAGGACUAGGUAACUAGGACGGUACGUUGUCUUAUCUUUCCAAUCUUUAAUCGGAUUAGGAAAAAGUGCGUGAACGUAUUAUCGGCGUGUUCGUUUCCGUUCAGCGGUUACGUUCACAUAAGCCCAUUUCAGUGCUCUUGAUCGAGUGUUGCUGUGGGCCGAUACGAAUUACUUUGAACAAAUUAGAGUGCUUAAAGCAGGCUUGUAAUGCCUGAAUAUUUUGUGCAUGGAAUAAUGAAAUAAGACAUCUGUUCUACUUUCAUUGGUUUUUUAGGCCAAGAUGUAAUGAUUAAUGGAAGCAGUUGGGGGCAUUAGUAUUACAGCGCGAGAGGUGAAAUUCUUAGACCGUUGUAAGACUGACUAAAGCGAAAGCAUUUGCCAAAGAUGUUUUCAUUUAAUCAAGAAC
rnacentral:rRNA from 1 species